rnacentral:lncRNA from 1 species
CUUACCAUGUGCUAAGUAAGCAACCAGAGACUCCAAGCAAGACCGGUGGGUUAAUACGUAGAAGGAAGUGGAAAGUUGAGGGGGGGGGAGGGUACAAGGUUUGCUUCGGGGACCAGGACCUCCCCGCGCGGCCCAAGAAGGUUUACAGGAGGGGCCCGGAGCUGCCUGGGAGGGUGGGGUUAGAGGAAGAUUCCUGGAAACAUGAGGCCCUAAGCAGAGAUUUUGCUAGUUUUAAUUUUUAUUGGUUUCCUAAAACACCAAAGU